GACGAACGCUGGCGGCGUGCCUAAUACAUGCAAGUCGUGCGGACCUUGUUGAAAGCUUGCUUUUAAAAGGUUAGCGGCGGACGGGUGAGUAACACGUGGGCAACCUGCCUGUAAGACUGGGAUAACGCCGGGAAACCGGGGCUAAUACCAGAUCGUUUUUUCUUCCGCAUGGAGGAAAAAGGAAAGGCGGCUUCGGCUGCCACUUACAGAAGGGCCCGCGGCGCAUUAGCUAGUUGGCGGGGUAAUGGCCCACCAAGGCAACGAUGCGUAGCCGGCCGGAGAGGGUGAACGGCCAGAUUGGGACUGAGACACGGCCCAAACGCCUACGGGAGGCAGCAGUAGGGAAGCUUCCGAAAUGGACGAAAGUCUGACGGAGCAACGCCGCGUGAGUGAAGAAGGCCUUCGGGUCGUAAAACUCUGUUGCCGGGGAAGAACAAGUGCCGUUCGAACAGGGCGGCGCCUUGACGGUACCCGGCCAGAAAGCCACGGCUAACUACGUG
rnacentral:rRNA from 1 species